AUUUACCUCCUGAGAUCAACAAAAGCACCAAUAUUUUGAGAUUCCCCAUAUAUUUCAAAAUCAGACUUCCUCUGACUCUUCCUUGGACCAGCUGACCUCUUCUACUCUGUUAUAGUAUUUCCUGUGGAUCUGCAGACUUUUUUGAAGUUUUAGAAAAUGCAACACAGAUAACUAGAUGCACAUUGAACACUAGAAGAGGUCCCCACGUCUCACUGUUGAGACUGAAGAUGCCAGUGACUUCAUUCCCCAUUUCAUCCACUGACCAGGGUGCACGCCCAGCCAGCUGUAACUGAUGUGAAAGUGGAGCUCUUCACACUUUUAGAAGAGCCUGCCAAGGAUAAAAUCUUAAUAAUAGAUGCCAACUCUCCCAUAUUCCAGAAUCAAGUCCUAGGAAACCCAGGUCAUAGUAAGAGAUUGUGAGGCAGCUUGUGAAAGCUUUUCUGCCCGUCACUCAGCCACUUACAAAGGAGUGGAGAUGAGGGAGAGGUUCUGUAUCCGCUUCAAGUGUGUCAGAGUUUAGCUUUUGCCUACUCAGGUAGGGAGGAGGACGUAAGGUUUGUAUGAAGUUGGCUCUAGAUCAGUCUUAGACACCAGAGUGGAAAGAGACAGAA